UCCCCUCUCCCGAUGGCCUUCCUGGCUCCUCUGUAUGGGGCUCCUCCAUCCGAUGGCCGCGUCCUCCGCUCCCAUCUGGCGACGCCUCCUCCAUCCCGGUGGCCAGUCUCCCACACCACAACAUCGGCGUGCCCCCCCCCCCCCCCCCCCCACCCCCCCCAUCCUGGAUGGCUGGAUACUGCGUGGCAGAGGGCCGCGGGAUCCUGGCCCCAAGCGGCGGGGUCCUCCAACUCCGGUGCCCAGCAGGUCAUCCUCGAACUCUGGCGCACGUCGCCUAGUAGUCCUUUUGCAGAUCCUGUCGGCAGGAGGCCCAACCCCCUCAGAUCCGGUAAAGUGAGCAGAUCGAGUAGGAUGAGGAGCGAGUAGAUUAACAAGUAGUGGGUAGGGGUGGUCCCUCCUCUCCUAGCCCAGGUAACAAGCUCUGAUGGCACAUCCUGGGCAGCACGUGAUCUCCAAUGAACUGCUUGAGAGGGGAGGUGCCUGCCCAUUCUAUGGUGUCACAGUGGCAGGAGCUUGAGCGCCAGGCGCCAUGCCACUUCCAUUCCCUCACACGGCACAGUUAGUGUCAUAGCUUUAAGCUCUCCCAGGCCAUGAGCGCCGAGCCCCCGACCCCUUCCCCAACAUCUUCGGCAAUGUCAACAGCACCAGCACCUCUUUCUUAGUGACCAUGGUCCUCAUCUCGCAUCUCUAGCAAAGGCACCCUGCCACAUCUUCAGCAAGCAUGGUUUUCUGUAUAAUAUUGAUGCGUCCAUUUAGAAACAUUAUUUUUUGCCUGCGUACAUAAAUUUAUAUGUAUACUAAUUAUAAUUUGGUAAUCUGACUAAAUAAAAUAUUUAUUUAUGAUGGUUUGUGCUUAUCCUUGAUUUAAUGUGAAUGCAACUCAAAUCUUUUCUUGCGAAUUUAUUUUUGUUCUUCCAUACAUAAGUUUCUAUGCAUAGAAAUUAUAACUUGGCAAUCUGACUAAAUAAAUAAUGGUUUUCACAUAUUGUUUUCAUGUACUUUGAUUUUUUAUUUCUAUACUUCUUGAGCCAACCGUGUAAUUAAGAAAUCAUCUGGAAUUCUAUACAUUGUUAGAGCACAUUUUAUACAUUGUUGGAACAUAAUUUUAUACAUUUAUAUAUUGUUGGAACUCAAUUUUAUAUGUCUUAUGCUUUUCAAUUUUCUAGUAUUUGCAUCAAUGUGAGUUUCUAUUCAAGCAUUAGUGAUUUUCUAUGCAUACAUUCAAUUUUAUUUGAUAAGAGGCUAAAAUUGCCUGUUUUUUUUGAAACUACAUAUAUGAACGUGGUGCCAAUUGGUGGUGGCGGAUGGGGGCGUGGACAACGGUAAUGGCCUGGCGCGGUCAAGGAUGUCUUCCACAGGAUGGUCGAAAGGAUUCCUCUAUUUGGUUUGAGGUCAAUGGUGGCUCGUCAUAGGACAUGGCUUGCGACGUCCGCAACAUCCUUGGCUUGUGACAAUGGCGUAGUUUGAUAUUCGAUAUAGUUGAUAGGUUAAUGUAAAAAGUUAGUUUUUCAUAUGUUGUGGUUAUAUGCUUGGAUGAUACGAGUGAAACUAUUGGUUUCUAUGUACUGUUGGGUUUCAAUAUUUGGUUGACUUAGUGUCUAUGCAUAUUAUGAGUUGGGAACAUUAUGGAUAG